UACGAAGGGGGCGAGCGUUGUUCGGAUUUACUGGGCGUAAAGGGCGCGCAGGCGGCCGGCCAAGUCAGGCGUGAAAGCCCCGGGCUUAACCUGGGAAUUGCGUCUGGGACUGGUUGGCUAGAGAUCGGGAGAGGAGAGUGGAAUUCCCAGUGUAGAGGUGAAAUUCGUAGAUAUUGGGAAGAACACCGGUGGCGAAGGCGGCUCUCUGGACCGGCAUUGACGCUGAGGAGCGAAAGCCAGGGGAGCAAACGGG
rnacentral:rRNA from 1 species